rnacentral:misc_RNA from 1 species
UUUCUUUUUACUUAUUUGCAAUGUAGACAAUCUAUUGGCAUUUACUUAUGUUCUGAAUCUUACAUUUUAAUUUUCCAGGAUUUAAAUGAACUGUUAGAUUUUAGCAAGGAAACAUAUUACCCAUUCUCUUUGUUUGUAUGGAGAAAUCUUCUGCAACUGUUUUGCUAUUAUUUUGAUUGUUUGUUUUGCAAUCUCUUGCUUAUUCCUCAUAACUGGUUUUUUUUUUUUUUUUU